rnacentral:rRNA from 1 species
UACGUAGGGUGCGAGCGUUAAUCGGAAUUACUGGGCGUAAAGUGUGCGCAGGCGGCCGGAGCAAGUCGAGUGUGAAAGCCCCGGGCUUAACUUGGGAAUUGCGCUCGAAACUACUUGGCUGGAGUGUGGCAGAGGAAGGUGGAAUUCCAGGUGUAGCGGUGAAAAUGCGUAGAGAUCUGGAGGAACACCGAUGGCGAAGGCAGCCUUCUGGGCCAACACUGACGCUCAUGCACGAAAGCGUGGGGAGCAAACAGG